rnacentral:rRNA from 1 species
GUGGGGAAUCUUAGACAAUGGGGGCAACCCUGAUCUAGCCAUGCCGCGUGAGUGAUGAAGGCCUUAGGGUCGUAAAGCUCUUUCGCUGGGGAAGAUAAUGACGGUACCCAGUAAAGAAACCCCGGCUAACUCCGUGCCAGCAGCCGCGGUAAUACGGAGGGGGUUAGCGUUGUUCGGAAUUACUGGGCGUAAAGCGCGCGUAGGCGGAUUGGAAAGUUGGGGGUGAAAUCCCGGGGCUCAACCCUGGAAUGGCCUUCAAAACUCCCAGUCUUGAGGUCGAGAGAGGUGAGUGGAAUUCCGAGUGUAGAGGUGAAAUUCGUAGAUAUUCGGAGGAACACCAGUGGCGAAGGCGGCUCACUGGUCCGGUACUGACGCUGAGGUGCGAAAGCGUGGGGAGCAAACAGGAUUAGAUACCCUUGUAGUCC